rnacentral:lncRNA from 1 species
UCUUAUCCUAAAGUUACUUUAAUUUGAUGCAUACCUUGAAUUUUAUGGAUUGAUUAAUUAAGGGGGAGAAAGAAAAUUUCAGAGGGAGAGAUCAUAUAGAACUUAAUCAUGUAAAUUCACAACUAAAGAUAAGAGAAAGAAUACUAAAUGUAAAGUGGUAUUAAACUUUGUGCUUCAUUGAAUAUCUUUUGAAAGUUGGAUUUUUCAUCUGUACUUAAUUGGUAAACCACUUGUUUUGAAAACUAAGUGAAAAGGAUUCCAGUUGUCUUAGCAUUGAAAAUUUACUUUGGAAUCCACUAAUGAUCUCUUAUUGGCUUGCACUUUAGUGUUUCAAUCCUGAGCCAAUUCAUUUUAAUUGAUUUUGAUGCUAUGAUCUUUAAAGGAGUAAAAGAAAGUCUUUAAGAGAGCUUUAAAAGAACUUUCAAAGCCCUGAAUUUUAUGUAUCCUACAUUGCAUAAAUUCAUAUCUUGGUAUCUAUGCUCCAAUACUUUUAUAUCAUGAAAGAACUU